rnacentral:tRNA from 1 species
GGAAGGGCAUCGGCACCGGUGUGUCGCACGGUCUUCAAAACCGCUGAGGGGCUGGAAGCCAGUCCCUGGUGGGUUCGACUCCCACGCCUUUCCGCCA